GAUGAACGCUAGCGGCCGGCUUAAUACAUGCAAGUCGAGGGGCAGCAUGAUUGUAGCAAUACAAUUGAUGGCGACCGGCAAACGGGUGCGGAACACGUACACAACCUUCCAAUAAGUGGGGAAUAGCCCAGAGAAAUUUGGAUUAAUACCCCGUAACAUAACGAUGUGGCAUCACAUUGAUAUUAUAGAUUUUUCGCUUAUUGAUGGGUGUGCGGCUGAUUAGAUAGUUGGCGGGGUAACGGCCCACCAAGUCUACGAUCAGUAGCCGAUGUGAGAGCAUGAUCAGCCACACGGGCACUGAGACACGGGCCCGACUCCUACGGGAGGCAGCAGUAAGGAAUAUUGGACAAUGGACGCAAUUCUGAUCCAGCCAUGCCGCGUGAAGGAUUAAGGUCCUCUGGAUUGUAAACUUCUUUUAUAAGGGACGAAAAAAGGCUUUUCUAAGUCGUCUGACGGUACCUUAUGAAUAAGCACCGGCUAACUCCGUGCCAGCCGCCGCCGUAAGAC
rnacentral:rRNA from 1 species